AUUGAACGCUGGCGGCAGGCCUAACACAUGCAAGUCGAACGAGUGGCGGACGGGAGAGUAGUGUCUGGAAAACUGCCCGAGGGAGGGGGAUAACUACGGGAAACGGUAGCUACUACCGCAUACUAUCGGAUGGGCCCAGAUGGGAUUAGCUAGUAGGUGGGGUAACGCCUCACCUAGGCGACGAUCACUAGCUGGUCUGAGAGGCUGACCAGCCACACUGGAACUGAGACACGGUCCAUACUCCUACGGUAGGCAGCAGUGGGGAAUAUUGCACAAUGGUCGCAAGCCUGAUGCAGCCAUGCCGCGUGUAUGAAGAAGGCCUUCGGGUUGUAAAGUACUUUCAGCGAGGAGGCGUUACUCGCAGAAGAAGCACCGGCUAACUCCGUGCCAGCAGCCGCGGUAAUAC
rnacentral:rRNA from 1 species